rnacentral:misc_RNA from 1 species
AUCGGGUUGUCUUCGGUUUUUGUGUUUCCUAAUUUUUUUUUUAUCUUCAUUUGCAUGAAAGGGGGGUAUCUGUAGUCAUUUGCUAUUGAACUGGAAGUAUUUAUCUAAUGGAUAUAUAUAUAAAAAGGAUUAAUUAGUGAGGGACUUUUAUAUAUGGGAUGGAAAUCGAAGGAGUCUACAGAAAUAAAACUUUUGAAAAUAUUAGGUUAUUUAAACGCUUAAUCGGUGAACUAACGAAUGUAAACAGUAAUAUGGUUCAUUCACAAGACUGUAUAAAAGUUUUGGUAGGAAACGAAAUUCGUUUGGUUCCGUGCUCUGAAUUCAGUUUUAAAUGAAUGUGUUGACCUUUGACGUUUUUCAUAAAAAUAGCACACAAUACAAAGUGCCGACAGGUCGUAGGGUUGGAUGUAGUGAAGUAGCAUUUUAACCAGUUAUGGAAUUUUGAGUUCCUUCACUUAAAACAUGUGGAAUAGAUAACCUUCGUAAACCGAUUUCGCGGCGAUGGAUGAACUAAUAUUCCAUGCAUCGCAGAGAUUAGAAGCCCUUCAGAUUCGACUCUUGUGCAGCGUCCAGAACUUCCGAAACAGUGUGCAGGUGUAUUCUGAACAAAUUCAGAAUGCAGUAGUGGAAGCAUUAAAUAGCCCGCGAGGACUUUAUGUGCAGGAGGGGCUACAUAACACUUGGGCCGCUGUUCUGAGAGUUGGAAACGACGUUAAAAGUGUAGCGAAUCGAGAAUACAUAUACGAUGUGUAUACCCGUGUACUUCGAAUCGUACUUUCUGAUGCAUAUGACUUGAAUGUGUAUUAUAGCUGCCUAUUCUUUGUGGUUGGAGGAGCUCUUGGCUUUACUAUUGGACUAUCAUGGAGGAGGACACCACAAUCUUCUCAGAGGAUGAAGGCAAUAGGCUGCAGUUAUUAUGGGGGAAUAGAUGCUGUUCAGCUGCUUGAUGAUGUGCCUAUCCCAUCUGUAAAGAAACCUGAUGAACUUUUGAUACAAGUGAAGGCAGCUUCUUUAGAUCCUGUUGAUAUUCUUAUAUGUUCUGGCUAUGGAAGAGUGCUGCGUAGACUACUCCACAGGUAUAAUAGUAAUGUGAAACAAGAAUUUCCAAUUGUAUUGGGUAGAGACUGUGCCGGCAUUGUCAUAGAAAUUGGUCAGAAGGUCAAUCACUUUGAUAUUGGUGAUGAAGUAUGGUUUUCUAUUCCAUACUGGCUCUCUGGAACUCUUGCUGAGUAUGUUGUUAUAACAGAAAACUUAAUAGCUAAAAAGCCUAAGGGAAUCAGAUUUGAAGUUGCAGCAAGUGUCCCAUAUUCAGGAAUGAUUGCAUGGAAUGCAGUUGUUUCUCAGGCUCAUCUGAAUUCCGUAGCUGCUAGUGGGAAAAGAAUAUUGGUCCAUACUGGAUGUACAGCUGUUGGAGUGAUAAUACUGCAGCUUGCACGUCUGUGGGGUGUUCAUGUAACUGUGACUUGUCCACACAGGGCAAUACCAGUUGCGCAAGCUUUAGGUGCAGACUGUAUUGUUUCUGACCAGCAGCCAGAUGUUGAGAAGCAGCUUUCAGAACAUGAUAGGUUUGAUUUUGUCUUCAAUACAGUUGGACAUGCAGCUGAUGAUCUGUGCCUAAAAUUUUGCAAAGAUGAUGGCCUUGUUAUAACAACUGUAGCAAGCCCAUUAGCUGCUGACAACUAUGGGCUCAUUUUUCGAUUGUUGUACAGCCUCUGGGUUCGCUUAAAAUGCUUUUUUAGGGUCUGUGUUGGGGCUAAUGCUUGGAGUUUAAUGGAUGAAUCUCUUGUACCACUGAAUGAAUUAGGAAAAUUAGUAGAAGAUGGAAGUCUGCAGCCAGUUGUGGACAAAAUAUUUUCACCUCAGGAUGCAGAACUUGCCUUCCAGCAUGCUGACUCUUGUGAUGCAGUUGGAAAGACAAUAAUAAGGUUCAGAUACAUCCUUCAGGGGCUUUAACUUCAUUUACUGAAAAGUCUAUCCAGUAGGACAACAAAGACUGGAAGUAUGCAAAAUAAAUUACCAUAUUUUAUGCAGUUUAAGAAAUUUGACAGAUACUGAUCUCCAAAUGGCUGUACAUGUGGAGCUUAUGCACCCUAGUGAGCAGAUGAUCCUGGAUGAUGCAAGAUUGUAUUUAUCAUUUGAAAUCCAUGUGUCACCAUUUGAUGAACUACAGUAUUGAUUUCUCAAUAGUCAUAUAAAUGCAACUGCAUUUGCAUUAAUUUGCAGGGCAUUUAUUGUUUCAGUAUCACCAUUUACUAUUUAAUUUUGUUAAUAUGUGUAUAAUGGGCUGAUAUUAGAUGGUGUUUGUAUUGGUUUGUAGUAAUUGACAGUAUGCUGAUUUUGCAUGGUGUAUUGUAAUCUGUUACUUUUAAAUGUUACACUGAACCACACUAUGGUGCUUUGCUGUUUUCUUCCUUUACAUUCAACUAAAACCAUUGAACUAAAUGUUGGUGCAUUCAGUGAGAACUUUCUUCAUUCUUUGGAGUGUCUUACUCUCAGGUGGCUACUCAUUCAUUAAAAAUUUUAAGAGAGUAAAAAGUUGUUUUAUGGAGAUGUUUUUUCAUCUAAGUCCCCAGGACUGUCAACAAAUUGACUCAAAUAUACUACUCUGGAUUUCAGAAAAACAGGAUAUUUAUUUUAUUUGAAAUUGGGUUUCUUAUUUGUAUAUCACUGUAUUGCAUUUUGCAUGAAAUGGGAAUAAGAGUGUGUUAAACUUUAAGAAGACUAUCAAAUAAACUUUUAUUAUUUUUAUUUAUUUUGUCACAUCAAUAGCUUCUUGUCAUCUUACUGCAACAAGACACUGAUCUGUUUCUUUGAUUUGAAGGUGAGAAAAAAUGAAAUAAAAGAAAACAGAGCUUUCACUAUAAAUCAUUACUGUGUGACUUCACUGUAGAAUUAUUUGAGAAUUUUUUAAUGAUAUUACAGGCUGUUAUUUAUGUUUCUGCUGUUGCUACCAACAGAAAAGGUUUUCAGUGGUCAUCUUGCAUGAGCGCUUUGUGAUAGAACAGGAAAUUUUUAUUCAUAUGGCGCAAUGUUUCACAGUUAGCUGUCUUUCGGACCAAAGUCUGUUUAAUUUUUGAUACUACAUUGCAGUUAUUACUCAGCAGUUUGUGUGCUUGUAGAAAUGUAAUCAAUAAGGCAAAAGAUCUACUAUGCAGUUACAUAAUGUUACAACAACAAAUCUUUGAGAUAUUUGGUUUGAGACAGUUCUGCAUUAACUCUGAGAACUAAAAGUUGUUGUUAAGCUGAGGCUAAUCUUAAUUGAUUAAUUGUGCUAACAAUUAAGUGGCAGGAUAUAGUGUUACCACUUAUAAGAUCAAAUGAUUUCAAGGUGCCGAUUAAUAAACUAGCAGAGACCUGCAGUGUGUGACAAUAAAGCUUUAAAACUGUUUUAUUGUAUGAAAGCUAGCAGUUCGUAGGAGGGUAAUUAAGAAAGGAUGAUCUUACACAGUUUUAAUACUGGUAUAUAGCACUAAUAAAAUGAAUAUAGUGCCUUACAGUACAAAUAUUUUGUUAAGUGUUAAAAUACAUUGUUAAUGCAUAUAUUUUUUGAAAUAUGUAGCAAUUACAAAUAAAUCAGAGAUGUUUUCAGAUUUUA